rnacentral:rRNA from 1 species
AUGCCCUUGUUGCGUUUGAAUGCAUCCAUUACACCAAGCAGGAGAAGGACCCAACAAAAGAGCAUAUGUGCUUACAAGCUAGAUUUGUCAAAGGCUUAUGACAGAGUGGAUUUAUUGUUCUUGAGGCAGGUGAUGCAAAAGGUGGGUUUCGCUCAACGAUGGAUUGGCUGGGUUAUGACGUGUGUCACAUCGGUGAGGUAUUCUAUCAAAUUAAAUGGUACCCUCUUGGAUUCAUUUGCACCGACGCGUGGUCUUCGGCAAGGUGACCUUCUAUCACCAUUAUUAUUCCUAUUUGUG